rnacentral:rRNA from 1 species
UACGUAGGGCGCAAGCGUUGUCCGGAAUUAUUGGGCGUAAAGAGCUUGUAGGCGGUUUGUCGCGUCUGCCGUGAAAUUUCGAGGCUCAACCUCGAACUUGCGGUGGGUACGGGCAGACUAGAGUGUGGUAGGGGAGACUGGAAUUCCUGGUGUAGCGGUGAAAUGCGCAGAUAUCAGGAGGAACACCGAUGGCGAAGGCAGGUCUCUGGGCCACUACUGACGCUGAGAAGCGAAAGCAUGGGGGAGCGAAACAGG